GAUGAAGAACGCAGCGAAAUGCGAUACUUGGUGUGAAUUGCAGAAUCCCGUGAACCAUCGAGUCUUUGAACGCAAGUUGCGCCUCAAGCCAUUAGGUUGAGGGCACGUCUGCCUGGGCGUCACAUAUCGUUGCCUGAUGCCAGUUUCCUCGUGAUGGGUGACUGUGCAGGGCGAAUGAUGGCUUCCCGUGAGCAUUGUUGCCUCAUGGUUGGUUGAAAAUUGAGUCCUUGGUAGGGAGCGCCGUGAUAGAUGGUGGUUGAGUGACGAACGAGACCCAAUCAUGUGAGACCCCUACCGAAUUUGGCCUUCAUGACCCACAUGCGUCUUUGGAACGCUCAUGACGAGACCUCAGGUCAGGCGGGGCUACCCGCUGAGUUUAAGCAUAUCAAUAAGCGGAG
rnacentral:misc_RNA from 1 species